CGCAGCGCCCCGCGGGGGACCCCUGCAGCCGCGGCCCCGCACUCACCCGCAGUUGGCGCUAGGCGUCGGGGGUCGAGGGCGCCCCACCACACUCGCGGCGAGGUCGCCACCAGGCACCUGCCGCGUCCGGCCCCAGAGCCUUGCACGGAGGGGUGGCCUGGGCCUCUCUUCAGCUCCCAGGGAGUCGGACUGGCCUUGCGCACAGUUAUCGCCUGAGGGUACAGGAGGGCCCUCCACCAGCCCGGAAGUGGGAAAGGACUUCCUGGAGCCCGGCUGAGCCAUGACCUGCAGGGUUGUGAGGUGCUUGAUCUGAGACAGGAAAGGCAAGUGGCUCAGUGUAACCGAGAAGAAGCGGACGGGGACCAGAUCAAGCUCUUAACAAAAGCAAAACGGCCAUCAUCUACGGAGCGUACAGUUGAAAGCAGGGACUGCUCAUAAUUGCUUCAAACUAGCCUCACACCUAGCCUACCAGAUUUUUUUGAAAGUCCCUUAUAUUGACUGAAGGGCAGAUGAAGACAUUCCAAAGAAAAUCCUGGCUGCUUCACAGCUGAGCUUCUCACAGUUGUACCAAGGCUGGCUGACAACCAUAGUCUUAUAGUCCCAGGCUAUCGCUAAUAGCAUGCUGCCUGGAAAAUAAUACAUGACGAUUCUGAGCCGAGGCAAGCCGGUUCAGCACCUCCACCAUCAAGAGACACAAUUAUCUCUGAAUCGAGUUACAGCAUCUUUGUUCACAUGGUAUCUUUAGCCCCUUAAAUCCAAUUACCGGGAUGAUGUUCUAUUGUUUUAUGUGUUCCUUCCCUAGAGGUCAAGAAUAUUAUUGUUGUGAGGUCAGCAACAGACAAGAUAUCUAGCACUUUCUCUUCCUUGUUGAAACUUCUAUGACCAUAGAAAAUGACUGUCUUGUCAAAUAUUCACAGACCUGCAUAUAUUCAUCUUUUACAUCUAGCCAGGUAGUGAGACAGUAAAAUAUAUCCAUGAUAAGUUCGUUUCAAUGAUAUAAGGUGAAAUGUAAGGGCAAUUUCCCCCCUAAUUUUUUUUUUAAUAUGGAAAAUUUUCAGUAUUCAAAAAAGAGAGAGAAAAGAGCAGUACAAUGUGCCCUGGUGUUCCCAUCACCCAGCGUGAACAAUUAUUAACGCUCGGCCGGUCCUGUUUCACCCACACCCACCCACUUCCUCCCACAUGUUUUGUUCCACAGAAAGCUCUAGACUUCGUAUCAUUUCACCUGUAAAUAUUUCAGUAUGUAUCUCGAAAAGAUAAGGAUUCUUUGGGGGCCAGGAGUUUGAUCAAGCAUUUCCUGAGAAGGGUUUGUGAGGAACAUUUGCCAAGAACUGGCUCCGAUGUUUUGCUAAAAGUUGCAUUUCUCCUGGGAGAAGGAGAGGAACAAGAUCAGAGGCGAUGGGAGGUUGACAGAAGAGCUGGCAGGUGAGGGGUGAAGGGCCUUGGUAACACCAGCGCCCCCUAGGGGAAGCCAGGCCUGUAUGAAAUCCAGGACUUUGGGUCUGGGACCAGGCUCUUUGUGGUUGGCUUUCUCAGUGUUCGCUGAAUUUCUCGGUGCUUUUUGCUGAGUCUGAGAUGGUGUUUUAAUGGCGGAAACUCAGCAGAGGUGGGGACCUGGUAACUACCUUUUGUGCCUGCUUGUGAGCAGCGUCUUUUCUCUAGGGCCAGCUCAUUUUCGUGGGGAGCAGUAACAAGUCUAUUCAGGGAGAGUAGCUGUAGGUCUCCUAGGGUGGAGUGUGCACAGGGCUGUAUCCCACAGUACUUGGCACAGCACUCAGCCCACAGUAGGUGCUCAGAAAAUGCUUGUUGCAGGAAGAAAGGGAGGGAGGAAGGGAAAGCAACAAGGAGUAAAUAAUAGAAUGCCCGAGUGUUAGAAAUGGUCAAAUGUAACAGUAAACAAGACCGCAAGUAGGGGCCAGGAGUGUGGCACAGCUGCUUAGGCAGCUACCUGUGGUGCCGGCAUCCCAUAUGGGCACCAGUUUGAGUCCCAGCUGCUCCACUUCCCAUCCAACUCCCUGCUAAUGUGCCUGGAAAGCAGUGGAAGAUGUCCCAGGUGCUGGGGCCCCUACACCCAUGUGGGACACCCAGAUGGAGGUCCACGCUCCUGGCUUCGGCCUGAUGCAUUCUGGGCCACUGUGGCCAUUUGGGGAGUGAACCAGGAAAUGGAAAAUCUCCCUCUCUCCCUCUCUCUCUCCCCCUCUCUCCCUCUCUCUCUCCCCCUCUCUCCCUCUCUCUCCC